rnacentral:rRNA from 1 species
CCUACGGGAGGCAGCAGUGAGGAAUAUUGGUCAAUGGACGAGAGUCUGAACCAGCCAAGUAGCGUGAAGGAUGACUGCCCUAUGGGUUGUAAACUUCUUUUAUAUGGGAAUAAAAUGUUCCACGUGUGGGAUUUUGUAUGUACCAUAUGAAUAAGGAUCGGCUAACUCCGUGCCAGCAGCCGCGGUAAUACGGAGGAUCCGAGCGUUAUCCGGAUUUAUUGGGUUUAAAGGGAGCGUAGGUGGAUUGUUAAGUCAGUUGUGAAAGUUUGCGGCUUAACCGUAAAAUUGCAGUUGAAACUGGCAGUCUUGAGUACAGUAGAGGUGGGCGGAAUUCGUGGUGUAGCGGUGAAAUACUUAGAUAUCACGAAGAACUCCGAUUGCGAAGGCAGUUCACUGGACUGCAACUGACAUUGAUGCUCGAAAGUGUGGGUAUCAAACAGGAUUAGAUACCCUGGUAGUC